GAUGAAGAACGCAGCGAAAUGCGAUAAGUAGUGUGAAUUGCAGAAUUCAGUGAAUCAUCGAAUCUUUGAACGCACAUUGCGCUCCCUGGUAUUCCUAGGAGCAUGCCUGUUUGAGUAUCAGUAAACUAUCUCAUGCACAGUCUUUCCUGUGUGUGGAUUUGAGGCAAUUCCAGGCAGAGGCAACUCUGAAACUGGGCGCCUUUAAAGUUAUUGUUUGGCUCGGAUCUCAAAGACCCCGCAUAGCUGAAAGGCGUGACAAAACUGACGAGCUCUCUUGCUCUACGGUUAAAAUCCGCUGCUGAGCAUUUUGUGGGAAAAACAUUCUUUAAGUUCCAUUCGCUGACUCAAUACAUUGACACACUCGUAUGUUCAGUCAUUACUUGUGAUCUUGAUCUCAAAUCAGGCAAGACUACCCGCUGAACUUAAGCAUAUCAAUAAGCGGAGGA
rnacentral:misc_RNA from 1 species